GACGAACGCUGGCGGCGUGCCUAAUACAUGCAAGUUGAGCGCUGAAGGUUGGUACUUGUACCAACUGGAUGAGCAGCGAACGGGUGAGUAACGCGUGGGGAAUCUGCCUUUGGGCGGGGGACAACAUUUGGAAACGAAUGCUAAUACCGCAUAAAAACUUUAAACACAAGUUUUAAGUUUGAAAGAUGCAAUUGCAUCACUCAAAGAUGAUCCCGCGUUGUAUUAGCUAGUUGGUGAGGUAAAGGCUCACCAAGGCGAUGGUACAUAGCCGACCUGAGAGGGUGAUCGGCCACAUUGGGACUGAGACACGGCCCAAACUCCUACGGGAGGCAGCAGUAGGGAAUCUUCGGCAAUGGACGAAAGUCUGACCGAGCAACGCCGCGUGAGUGAAGAAGGUUUUCGGAUCGUAAAACUCUGUUGGUAGAGAAGAACGUUGGUGAGAGUGGAAAGCUCAUCAAGUGACGGUAACUACCCAGAAAGGGACGGCUAACUACGUG
rnacentral:rRNA from 1 species